rnacentral:lncRNA from 10 species
CCAGGCUGCAGUGCAGUGGCACGAUCUCGGCUCACUACAACCUCCACCUCCCAGGUUUAAGCGAUUCUCCUGCCUCACCCUCCUGAGUAGCUGGGAUUACAGAGUGAAGCCAAAGGCACAGGAAGCACAGCUGGAAUGGGGACAUAGGAACGCGGGGGCUCCCAUGAGUUGACCGGACAACUGAGAGAUGGCAACCUAGACCUGGGGGACAAAAUAUGCUAUGUUUUCGUGAAUCCAUGAUUCGACCUGAAGAAGAAGGAAAGAACUGGACAUCCAGAUGAGUACAUUGAUAUCGAAGAAAAAAAGAGGAGGGAGCACACAGGUGAGCAGGUGCAGGAACCAGCCGGACAAUUUGCCGCCAGCAGGAAUGAACUCCAAGCAGGCCCCACUGCAGUAUCCAGGUCGGGGUGCCUGUGACUUCUGAAGCCACAGAGGCAUUCUUUUGCUACUUACAUGGUGGAACUCCUUGAACAGAAUAACAGACCAUAGUGCCUGCCUGGAAUUCAGACUGGAAAAGAUUGAAAUGUAAGUCACCCUGGGCUCUUUUAAUUUAAUAUAGUCAAAUUCAGUUAUCCCAUAUUAACCCCAAUCUAAGGUACAUGGAGAACCUGGCCAGAAAAUCUCUCUGGUCAACCUUCCUAUCAUAUAGUGAAGAGAACCAGGACAGGGAUUAAAAACCAGUGGAAAAAGCAUUUGCUUGAGGAGCCCAUAGCUUCAAAUGUAAGUUGCAAAAUAUUCUAAAUGAAAGAAGGGCCUGUUCUUUAAUUGAUUCAUGCAGGAGUUGUUUCGUCUCCAAAAUUACUAUGAAUUCUUAAGAAAUCUUGCUAAAUAUUUUCCUAUCAACCACUUCACUGUCUUGUCUGGCAACAUCUAUUGCUGGUCAUCUCUUCUUCACUAAAUCUAUUCUUCGGAUAUGUUUCAAGUUGUUGCAAUUUCCACAUCUCUCAAAGAGGCAAUGCAACACAGAGGAAAAAUAUAUGGCCAGCUCUAGAUACAGACAAACUUAGGUUAAAAUUUCAGCUUUGCCACUUACAAACUGUGUUUCCUUGAGCAAUUUGGGUAACCUUUAUGAACCUCUGUGACUACGUGAAUAUCAAAUUUACUGGGUUACGAGAAUGGCAACAAACAACAUAAGAUGUUUGGUAAAUGGUAGUUGUCACCAUUAUGCAAUUACUGCAUAUGUAUAUAAAUAUGCUGUGUAAUUGUGUGUGUAUAAAUUACAUAUGUGUAUAUGUGUUUGUGUGUGUGUGUGUGUGUGUGUGUAUGCUUUGUUGACCACGAUAAGCUUUGAACUCCAUGAAUUCUUUAUCUCUAAAUUUCCAUUGACUUGCAUAGUGCUUAAAAUGAUUGCUGAAUGGAAAUAGUAUAAAUGAAAUAAUGAAUGAAUGAAUGAAUGAAAAAAUAGAUAAACAUUAAUUGAACUAAAUUGAUAGAAUACAAUGCUGUCACCAUUCUUGAUUAGUCCCAAAGGCUAUAUAUUCUGCCAUGUGUUAUUAUCCUUAUAGUUGUACUUGACCAUAAUGCAUUUUUCACAGUUCCAGUUUCAAUGUCAGCUUCUCCCCUUUGGGAAGGCUUUCUUGACUAAGUCAGUGUGCUUUUUUCUCCUCUUCUAGAUCUGUGUAGUUCAUA